UAGCUCAGUUGGUAGAGUACUUGCCUCACAUGCAAAAGGCCCUGGGUUCAAUCCCCAG
rnacentral:tRNA from 1 species